rnacentral:rRNA from 1 species
AUGCAUGUCUAAGCAUAAGCCGAUAAAUGGUGAAGCCGCGAAUAGCUCAUUACAACAGCCAUAGUUUAUUGGAUCUUCUCUCUACUUGGAUACCUGUGGUAAUUCUAGAGCUAAUACACGCACUAAAGCCCCGACUUCGGGAGGGGCGCAUUUAUUAGAGCAAAACCAAUCGGGCUAUGCCCGUCGUUUGGUGAAUCUGAAUAACUCAGUUGAUCGCACAGUCCUCGAACUGGUGAUGUAUCUUUCAAGUGUCUGCCUUAUCAACUUUCGAUGGUAGUUUACAUGACUACCAUGGUUGUAACGGGUAACGGAGAAUAAGGGUUCGACUCCGGAGAGGGAGCCUGAGAAACGGCUACCACAUCCAAGGAAGGCAGCAGGCGCGCAAAUUACCCACUCUCAGUACGAGGAGGUAGUGACGAAAAAUAACGAGACGGUUCUCUAUGAGGUCCGUCAUCGGAAUGGGUACAAUUUAAACCCUUUAACGAGGAUCUAUUGGAGGGCAAGUCUGGUGCCAGCAGCCGCGGUAAUUCCAGCUCCAAUAGCGUAUACUAAAGUUGUUGCGGUUAAAAAGCUCGUAGUUGGAUCUGCGGUCUCGCGUGCCGGUGAAUCCUCAGGAUUUUACUGGUUACGCAGGCCUACCUCGCUGGUUUUCCCUUGGUCCUCUUCACUGAGUGCCCUGGGUGACCAAGCAAGUUUACUUUGAAAAAAUUAGAGUGCUCAAAGCAGGUGUGUAGCCUGAAUAGUGGUGCAUGGAAUAAUGGAAUAGGACCCCGGUUCUAUUUUGUUGGUUUUCGGAACGCGAGGUAAUGAUUAAGAGGGACAGACGGGGGCAUUCGUAUUGCUGCGUUAGAGGUGAAAUUCUUGGAUCGCAGCAAGACGGACAACUGCGAAAGCAUUUGCCAAGAAUGUUUUCAUUAAUCAAGAACGAAAGUUAGAGGUUCGAAGGCGAUCAGAUACCGCCCUAGUUCUAACCGUAAACGAUGCCAACUAGCGAUCCACUGGCGUUAAUCAUGAUUCAGUGGGGAGCUUCCCGGAAACGAAAG